AGAGUUUGAUCCUGGCUCAGGAUGAACGCUGGCGGCGUGCCUAACACAUGCAAGUCGAACGAAGCACUGUUAACGGAGGUUCGUCGAAGUUAACUUUGACUUAGUGGCGGACGGGUGAGUAAUGUAUGAGCAACCUGCCUUUCAGAGGGGGACAACAGUUGGAAACGACUGCUAAUACCGCAUAAUGUAUCGAGAGGGCAUCCUCUUGAUACCAAAGGAGCAAUCCGCUGAAAGAUGGGCUCAUAUCUGAUUAGUUAGUUGGUGAGGUAACGGCUCACCAAGACUGCGAUCAGUAGCCGGACUGAGAGGUUGAACGGCCACAUUGGGACUGAGAUACGGCCCAGACUCCUACGGGAGGCAGCAGUGGGGAAUAUUGGGCAAUGGGCGAAAGCCUGACCCAGCAACGCCGCGUGAAGGAAGAAGGUCUUCGGAUUGUAAACUUCUUUUAUGAGGGACGAAGGACGUGACGGUACCUCAUGAAUAAGCCACGGCUAACUACGUGCCAGCAGCCGCGGUAAUACGUAGGUGGCAAGCGUUAUCCGGAAUCAUUGGGCGUAAAGAGUACGUAGGUGGUUACCUAAGCAAGGGGUUUAAGGCAAUGGCUCAACCAUUGUUCGCCCCUUGAACUGGGCUACUUGAGUGCAGGAGAGGAAAGCGGAAUUCCUAGUGUAGCGGUAAAAUGCGUAGAUAUUAGGAGGAACACCAGUGGCGAAGGCGGCUUUCUGGACUGUAACUGACACUGAGGUACGAAAGCGUGGGGAGCAAACAGGGAUUAGAUACCCUGGUAGUCCACGCCGUAAACGAUGAGCACUAGGUGUCGGGGUCGCAAGACUUCGGUGCCGCAGUUAACGCAAUAAGUGCUCCGCCUGGGGAGUACGUUCGCAAGAAUGAAACUCAAAGGAAUUGACGGGGACCCGCACAAGCAGCGGAGCAUGUGGUUUAAUUCGAAGCAACGCGAAGAACCUUACCAGGGCUUGACAUCCUGCUGAC
rnacentral:rRNA from 1 species